rnacentral:rRNA from 1 species
UAAAUUAGUUCUGCCCAAUGAUUUAAUUGUUAAAUGGCUGCAGUAUUUUAACUGUGCGAAGGUAGCAUAAUUAUUASUUUAUUAAUUGUGAACUUGUAUGAAYGGUUAAAUGAGAUUUAAGCUUUCUUUAAAAUAUUUAUUUGAAUUUACAUUUUUUGUAAAAAUGCAAAAAUUUAUUUGUAAGACGAGAAGACCCUAUAAAACUUAAUACUUUUAUAAAAUUAUAAUUUUAUAAAAGUAUUAAAUUGGGGAGAUUAUGGAAUUUUAUUAACUUUCAUUUAUUUUUUUUCAUUAAUUAUUGUUUUUUUGAUUUAUAAUUAUAAAUAAAAGAUUAAGUUACUUUAGGGAUAACAGCGUAUUGAACUGAGAGUUCUUAUUGAUAGUGAUUUUGCGCCUCGAGU